UAUGGAUAUAUAUUUUCUAACCCAAUUUUCCUAAAUGCUUAAUAAGUCUUUAUCAAUUCUAUCGGAGCAUAUAAAUCAAUAACAUCUGAACAUGUAAUUCAGUAGUAUGUACACGUAGGCAAAAGUUAAAAUGAAUUCUCUUUUUACGAAUUAAAACAAAGUAUAUGUUGCCAGGUUAAAUCAAACUAGCAGGUACUUUGACAAGUAGUCCAGUCUUGAUCCUGUAGAAAACGAUUUUUGAACUCAAAAUGUCAAAGAUAAGAUCUUCCAGCGCCGUUAGCCAAAUCUCAUAUACACAGAAAAGAGAAGAGCAUGUGCUGAUUUGAGGGUGUGGCCUUUCUUCCUCGUGACCAUGAACAAUCUAUCUGAUAAGGACCUUUGGUUUGCAGCUCAGCAUGGACGGUGCAACCAGUUUUUUAGUUGGACCAAAAGUGAAGCUAAAGAAAGAGAAAAAAACCUUGGAAGAGUCAAAUUUGCAAUGACUUAAUAGAUCACCAUAAGCCGCUUCUGGCACUUGCGAUGUGUAUCCCUUGUGUUCAAGUUCGUUGCAUCUAAACAUUUUCAUCAAUUCAGUCACCGGCCUCUCACUGUCAACCCCACCUAUUUGUUUUUUGUUUUGUUUUGUUUUUUUUUUUAAUACCGCGAUGUUCAUCUUUUGGUGAGAGAUGCUAUACACUCAUUCACCAUUCCACCCAGGCCUGAGGCUCUGGCAAUUGGCAUUCAGCUCUCUGGGCCAUCCAGGAAUAGAAACAUUCCGUUAAAACGUUUUUUUUGUUUUGCAAGCAAAUGAUUGUGAAAACCUCACUUGGGCACUUCCAUCCAUAGCCAGCUUCAGUGUGAAAGUGGUUCAGGAUCAGCGUGAGAGCAUAGCCCCCAGUCAAAAGUAUGAUUGUCCGGCGGUGGCUUCCAUUGGCUUGUCUAUUUGUCAAACUUUUCACAAAGUUGAAACGCAUGCCCCGCGCGCAUCUACACAAGGUUUUAAGGUUGUUUAACUCCCGAAAUCCUGGCAGAAAAAGGGUUCACUUUUACAACAUCCUGGCCAAAGAGCACGGUUUCUUCGAUGAUUCCUUCAAAGUACUGAAACGACUAACAUGCGUGCUCCAAGCAGAAAGUCGAACAUCUGUUCUUGUCUUGUCCUGGAUGCGGUGCACUUGGACCAAUGGAAUCAAAUGGGUGCAAACGUAGGGAAGUUCCUUACCUUUCCCUUUGGACUAGAAAUAAACAGCGUAACCAAUAAGCAGAGCAAAUAAUAACACCAAUGGCAGAGUCAAAAAGAAAUGCCUCUCAAAGUCCUUUUCAUCUGGAGAUAGAAGCUAAAACAGUCCGGAGAGUGAAAACAAGCACCACUUUAAAUGCAAUUUCAGCUACAGUAAACCUGCAACCUGCCAUUUCAGAAUUUUAGAAGCUCCUACGGUCAGAUUAGAGCAUACGUUUUCUUUCCUGUGAACAAACUAAGAAAGCAACUAGGUAAGCCUCUACAAUUGGCGGCUUCAACAGUUGAAUCUAAUCAUGGAUCACGAGUAGAACCAACUCAUUUGAUUUAACAGCAUUUUCAGCUUCUUACUGAACAAAGAGAACGAAUUAGCAGCUACCAGCAUAUGAUUAAGUUUUCCUCAGCAUGAGGUCCUCUCAGCUGGUCUUCAUUUAGAAUAUUUAAACUGCUUUCACAUGAAUUUCUUCUAAUUAGCAUGAUUUAAAGUGGGUCACGAUAAUAAUGUACAAAUAUCUUGAAGCAAUCCCUAUACUAACUUUACCAGUUUUGCCUACAGUGGAAAGGCUACAAAGAGAGUGCUUAUCAGAAAGUAGUCCAAAAACAUCUAAAGUUAAUGGCUGAUUUCUUAUCAGCGCCGCAUAUCAAUAAUCUACUGCCAGGUGCUGUCACUAUCAAGUCAUUCUCCGCAUCAAACUCAGUAUAUAUCCACUAUGCUAGCAAUGUCCAAUCAUCAGACUGGCAGAAACAUGAUUCUCUAUAGAAGCAAAACCCAGAGAUAGGAAAAUAAAAAUAGAAAGAAACUAUAUAUGAUCGUCAAUGAAUGCCACUUGCUUGUUUGAGUCCAAUAGAAAGAGGCGCCGGUGCGGAGAAAAUUUCCAAACCAACAAAAACAAAAUCUACCUAAAAACCAAUGUUCAUCUCAAGACCAUUCUAUUUAGUUGACUUUCAGCAAAGAACGAUAUCCAUGUCUCACAGCAUGGCAAAUAAAAAAACGUCUCCGCUUUUGUUUUCAUCCAGGUAAUGUCAAAGUCAAAUAAAAAUAAUCAACGCUAAAUGCAAUGCACUAUUUUCAGUAAACCUUUCCAAACCUAGUUCUCCUCGAAGGAUUUUCAAAUUUGGCGGUGUUCAUUAUGAACAAGCAUCACUUAGAAGAUUUCAUCAAAU